rnacentral:misc_RNA from 1 species
UACGUAGGUGGCAAGCGUUGUCCGGAAUUAUUGGGCGUAAAGCGCGCGCAGGCGGUUUUUUAAGUCUGCCGUGAAAGCCCCCGGCUCAACCGGGGAGGGUCAUUGGAAACGGGGAGACUUGAGUACGGAAGUGGAGAGUGGAAUUCCACGUGUAGCGGUGAAAUGCGUAGAUAUGUGGAGGAACACCAGUGGCGAAGGCGACUCUCUGGUCUGUAACUGACGCUGAGGCGCGAAAGCGUGGGGAGCAAACAGG